rnacentral:pre_miRNA from 11 species
GACCGCACGGGAUAAUACUUAUUCCGUGCGGGUGACAUAAGUUGCCCGCACGGAAUAAGUAUUUUCCCGUGCGGUC